UUCCAUUCUUCAGUCACUGAUAAUUGGCUUUUUAAAAGCUGUCCUCAUAGUGUCACACGAUCACCAGAUAAACUCUGCAGUGAAGGUUCUUUAGAUUCAAAUCUAUGUUAAAUUAUUUCAAUUUUUUGAUUAAA